rnacentral:rRNA from 1 species
UACGUAGGGGGCAAGCGUUGUCCGGAAUCAUUGGGCGUAAAGAGCGUGUAGGCGGCUCGAUAAGUCUGCUGUGAAAGUCCAGGGCUCAACCCUGGAAGGCCGGUGGAAACUGUCGGGCUAGAGUCCGGAAGAGGCGAGUGGAAUUCCCGGUGUAGCGGUGAAAUGCGCAGAUAUCGGGAGGAACACCAGUGGCGAAGGCGACUACCUGGCCUGUUCUUGACGCUGAGGCGCGAAAGCUAGGGGAGCAAACGGG